AACACAGGCCAAAGCUCAGUGCUUCCUGUCACCACCGUCGUCGUCACUAAGAAGACAGCGUGAAGUCAGUCCAGCGCCUGCGUUCAUGAUUUUUUAGAGACGGGGCACUGAGGCUUUGAGAGGCUAAGCGAUCUGCCCAAAGUCAUACAACUACUGAAAAGCAAGUCCCUUCUCAUCUGACAGGCAAAGGGACCAGGCCUCCCCCAGCCCAGGCUUCUCACCCCCAGUUUGCCGCACCGUCCAGCUUCCCUUCAUCCUGUUGGCAGAGCCCCCCAUUUCGCCUUCUCCCCCAAGACAAACAGAAUCACCUCAUCCCACCAGCCCCUCUUCUUCUCCCCUCAGUUCCAGCAAGCCCUUUGCCUCUCAGACUUUGCUGCAUGCACCUCCUCCCGCUGCUUCACCUGCAUCGCCUCUCCAAACCCUACAGCAACAACCAGGCCUCCAUGGCAGAAACUGCUCAGAGUAUCCACUCCCAUCCUCUUCCUUAGUAAGGAAACCAUCAAUUCUUUGGUUGCCCGCAUUCACACUCAGAAUAAAGACUACCUUUGCCAGUCUCCUCUGCAACUUGGCACGGCCAUGAGACAGGGUUCUGGCCCCGAUAUGCCAAUGAAAGUGUCGUGGAGGGGCUUUAGGAAAUCUGAAAUGGAAGAAGGCUUUUUGAGGCUCCUUUUUGCUGCUCACCGAAAUGAAAGUGUGAUGGCCCCACCUGAGCGGCAAUGAAGGUAGGGCAUCUAGAGGGCAGAGUUGAGCUCCCAGGGGAAGGGGAGCCUUCCAGGGACCCCUGCUUGGCACUGGGAGGUCCCUGGUCCAACAAUGGUGCCAAAGGAAUUCCUGGUACUUUCUCUCUCUCUCUUUUUUUUAACGCCCUCAGUGUGCUAACAUUCUGGGACCAGGGAUGGAAACUGCACCACAGCAGUGACAAUGCCAGGUCCUUAACCGGCUGAGCCACCAGGGAACUCUGGUACUGGCUUGCUCUUAUACUUUCCCUUGCUAGAGUCUUCUGCUGCAGGAACUCCCGGAAUCCACCAGACACUGUCUUCCAUCUUCUCUUUCAAGGACCCCUGAUCUUCUCAAGGCCCCCAACACCGUGGGCUUCGAGGAAGACGGCCACCACAAUGGUGGCCCACCCCUAGAAGGUGCCCUCCCACCCUACAUUCCUUCCUCCUCCCAUUGAUAUCAACUCAGAGACUAAAGAGAACAGUACACUCUAACUUUGGAUUCAAUUUGAUUACAAGUAGGACCUAUAUUUGUACAGUAAUGUAGCUGGAAUCCUAGGGUUGGAUUGAUUUCUGAGCAAACAAGCCAAAGAGGAGUCAGGAAUUUCUUUGGCACCAUUGUUGGACCAGGGACCUCCAGCCGGUGCUGAGACAUUUGUAGUGAUGGGAGGCUCAGCGUCUCACAAGGCUGCCUAUUCUGUUGGAAAGUAAUCCUGAAUCACCAGAAAUAUUUUCCUCCUUUUGAACCACAACUGAGACUCAUGUUUUUGGUGUUGGUGUGUGUGUGUGUAUAUGUGUGUGUGUGUGUGUGUGUGUGUGUAUAUGUGUGUGUGUGUGUGUGUGUUUGGAUAUGUAUGGGAGGCACGCCUAAAGCACACAAUGAGUUUUCUUGGGAAAAGUUUUGUUGCCAUUAUUCAAAAAGCUACAUAACCUGGUUCCCAUUACCUGCCUGAAUUGCUGGUCUAAAUGCAGCAUCACCUAGUUUAUUUUUGCACCUAUUCCUCAGCCUCAGGGGCUGGGGGUGCCUAGGGCUUGAAGAAAGGGAGGCGAUGGGGAAGACUGAGGACAGGCAAGAGGAGGAACUUCCAGGGUAAGGGGGGGAUAAAGCAGCAGCUGCACAAAGUCCUGCAGGGGCAAAUGAAAGGAGGCAGGAGGAGGCUGGGCUGGUAUGAAAACCUGGGGUUGGGGAAGGAAAGAAGAAAACCCAGAGAUCCACCAUUCACAAACAUCCCCAGUAAAAGGACUCUCCUUAUGGACAACCUUGAGCGACUUCACCUUUCAGAGCCUCAGUAUCUUCAUCUGGAAAGUGGGUAUGGUAUGAAUACUCAUUUCCGAGACUUGUAGGGAUUAAACAACACACAUUGUGCCGCCUGGCACACAGUAAGUAUCAAUACAAUACAGCAAUAAUGUAUUAUAUAUUAUAAUUCAAUACUACCAAGAACAUGCUAUUAUUUACUCUUUGCGGAGCCCCAAUUCUUCCACCUUCAGAAUCUGGGCUCCCUUUCAGGACCUGUUUAAGAAAUCUGUUCUUCCCACGUGUGUAGUUCAGACAGCAGUCCUCAGUGGGUGGGGCCAGGCAGAGGCUUCCCUGUCCAUUACUGAGGUUUCCAAGGCCCUGGCAGGGACUCCCUCCCCAUCCCCCUCCUGCUCUCCUUGGGGCUCCCAGCUUCCCAGCAGCUCCCAGCUCCUGAGGGACGGGAAGUGUGUGUGUUUGGAGAGGGAGGGAGUCUUCCCCCAGUUAUUGUACCCAGAGUCAGCAUCCUGGAGCCAGGCCCCCGGGGCUCUCUGUGCUGGCCGCACUGGCACCUGCACCAGCCUCCUCCUCUUCCCAGCCCUCAGGGGUCCUGGUGGCUGGGCACUCAGACAAGCUGUGUGCUAGCCUGGGCUCUUGCACAAACUUGCUUUGUGACGUUGGGCAAGUCCCUUCCCCUCUCUGAGCCUGUUUGCUCCUGCGAUCAAACAGAAGAAGAAGAAAAAAAGAAUGAUUCCAUGACUUGAUGUAAGUGAUUCAGAGGAGAAAAGGGAAAAGGAAGUUAAGAAAACCAGGGGUUUUGUCCAAUAGUGUCCAGUCACUGGUACUCCAGGCAAAGCCACUGAGAUCUGAAUAACUCUCCCCAAUUACCCAGGUCACCGCAGGAAUGGAGACCUAGUUUGACCAACUCCCAGAGAACACAACCCUCUGCUUUUCUUCUCUGGUUCCAGCCUGGCCUCUUCCAGGGGCUUUAACCCUGUUUACAGAAAUGGGAAUUUGCAUGAUGAAAAUAACCCCAGCCGGACUGCGAUUUUACUGAGCUUGGCACAGGGCUCGGAAAAAGCGGCUGCAUAGCCAAUUACUGGAAUUUUUAAACACAAAUAAUAUUUUAUGGGAUCAGUGGGCUGGCGCGGGGCCGCCGCACCCGGCGCGGCUCCUCCGCCCACAAACAAGCUCUGAUUGUGCGGCGGGCGAGCGCGCCAGCCCGGGGCUGGGAGGUGGGAAGGGGGUA
rnacentral:lncRNA from 9 species